rnacentral:misc_RNA from 1 species
AAGUCGUAACAAGGUCUCCGUUGGUGAACCAGCGGAGGGAUCAUUACAGAGUUGCAAAACUCCCUAAACCAUUGUGAACGUUACCUCCAACCGUUGCUUCGGCGGGCGGCACCGGGUCCCCCCCCGGUGCCCCUCGGCCCUCGCGGGCGCCCGCCGGAGGUUACCAAACUCUUUGAUACCUUAUGGCCUCUCUGAGUCUUCUGUACUGAAUAAGUCAAAACUUUCAACAACGGAUCUCUUGGUUCUG